CCCUCCGUCAGUGGGAGGACGUGGGCACGUUGCAUAAUUAACAGCUGAGAUUCAGGAUCACAGAGCCGAGAGGAGACGUCCUCCAUCACUCACAAUGUCCUGUUAGAGGCGAUGAAGACAAGGCCAAGUCACACAGGAAGUAGAUCUUCCUUACGGCUGGGAGGAGGCCUUCACUGCAGACGGAGUGAAAUACUACAUCAAUCACAUGACCCAGACGACGUCCUGGAAACUUCCUGUGACGGCCCCGGGGCCCGCCCCCCCCCCACAGACCACCGAGGUGCAGGCCGAGCGGGACGGGGAGGCGAAGGAGCGGCGGCCCGGCUCCUCCAUCGAGACGGAGAUGUGAAACGCUGCAGUUUCAUUAAAGUCAUUAAAAAGUUUAGUUUCACCUUCUUUCAAACCCGCAGAACUUUAUUUAAAACGUACACUCCCACAUUUGAGGAAAUACGCUGGUCUGCUGUCUCGCACCUCGUGAGGACGUCACGUUCUAUAUUACGUCCUUUUAUGAAUUCAACAGAGGAGAUAUCAUUUAUGCUAAGCUAAAAUAAGCUAAGCUAAGCUAAGCUAACCGGCUCCUUAUUUAACGGUCAAACAUUUAUCUAACUUUUCCUAAAAACUGUUUAGGUGAUGCCAAAGAAAAUUAAAUAAGAAGAAUUAUGAGACUGAACUUAGUAUAAAAUAUAUUAUAUAAAGUAUAAUAUAGUAUAAAAACAUACCUUCUAUCAGCCUAUCAACAUAAAAUACAAAUAAAUACUUUAAAUAAAUAUGUACAAGAAACAUAAAUAUAGAAUAAAAAGUUAUGAAUAAAUAUUAUAAAGAUAUUUAAAUUAAUUAUAAAAUAUGUACAAGAAACAUAAACUAAAGUAAAACACAAUAAAAAUAGCUGUGCAGCGGUACAAAGUCAAAUUUUUAUUUAUGAGUUAUUAUUGGAACGUAACU